rnacentral:rRNA from 1 species
UGGGGAAUUUUGGACAAUGGGGGAAACCCUGAUCCAGCCAUCCCGCGUGUGCGAUGAAGGCCUUCGGGUUGUAAAGCACUUUUGGCAGGAAAGAAACGUCAUGGGUUAAUACCCCGUGAAACUGACGGUACCUGCAGAAUAAGCACCGGCUAACUACGUGCCAGCAGCCGCGGUAAUACGUAGGGUGCAAGCGUUAAUCGGAAUUACUGGGCGUAAAGCGUGCGCAGGCGGUUCGGAAAGAAAGAUGUGAAAUCCCAGAGCUCAACUUUGGAACUGCAUUUUUAACUACCGGGCUAGAGUGUGUGAGAGGGAGGUGGAAUGCCGCGUGUAGCAGUGAAAUGCGUAGAUAUGCGGAGGAACACCGAUGGCGAAGGCAGCCUCCUGGGAUAACACUGACGCUCAUGCACGAAAGCGUGGGGAGCAAACAGG